GACGAACGCUGGCGGCGUGCCUAAUACAUGCAAGUCGAGCGCAGGAAGCUCACGGAACUCUUCGGAGGGAAGUGAAGGGAAUGAGCGGCGGACGGGUGAGUAACACGUAAGGAACCUGCCCCAAGGAUUGGGAUAACUCCGAGAAAUCGGAGCUAAUACCGAAUAGUUCUUCAGACCGCAUGGUCUGAUGAUGAAAGGCGCUCCGGCGUCACCUUGGGAUGGCCUUGCGGUGCAUUAGCUAGUUGGUGGGGUAAUGGCCCACCAAGGCGACGAUGCAUAGCCGACCUGAGAGGGUGAUCGGCCACACUGGGACUGAGACACGGCCCAGACUCCUACGGGAGGCAGCAGUAGGGAAUCUUCCACAAUGGACGAAAGUCUGAUGGAGCAACGCCGCGUGAGUGAUGAAGGUUUUCGGAUCGUAAAACUCUGUUGUAAGGGAAGAACAGGUAUGAGAGGUAAUGCUCAUGCUACGACGGUACCUUACGAGAAAGCCACGGCUAACUACGUGCCAGCCGCCGCCGUAAUAC
rnacentral:rRNA from 1 species